AUUGAACGCUGGCGGCAGGCCUAACACAUGCAAGUCGGACGGUAGCACAGAGGAGCUUGCUCUUCGGGUGACGAGUGGCGGACGGGUGAGUAAUGUCUGGGAAACUGCCCGAUGGAGGGGGAUAACUACUGGAAACGGUAGCUAAUACCGCAUAACGUCGCAAGACCAAAGUGGGGGACCUUCGGGCCUCACACCAUCGGAUGUGCCCAGAUGGGAUUAGCUGGUAGGCGGGGUAACGGCCCACCUAGGCGACGAUCCCUAGCUGGUCUGAGGGGAUGACCAGCCACACUGGAACUGGGACACGGUCCAGACUCCUACGGGAGGCAGCAGUGGGGAAUAUUGCACAAUGGGCGCAAGCCUGAUGCAGCCAUGCCGCGUGUAUGAAGAAGGCCUUCGGGUUGUAAAGUACUUUCAGCGGGGAGGAAGGUGCUGAGGUUAAUAAGCUCAGCAAUUGACGUUACCCGCAGAAGAAGCACCGGCUAACUCCGUGCCAGCCGCCGCAGUAA
rnacentral:rRNA from 1 species